rnacentral:rRNA from 1 species
CAGUAGCCGCGGUAAAACGGAGGGUGCAAGCGUUAAUCGGAAUUACGGGGCGUAAAGCGCACGCAGGCGGUUUGUUAAGUCAGAUGUGAAAUCCCCGAGCUUAACUUGGGAACUGCAUUUGAAACUGGCAAGCUAGAGUCUUGUAGAGGGGGGUAGAAUUCCAGGUGUAGCGGUGAAAUGCGUAGAGAUCUGGAGGAAUACCGGUGGCGAAGGCGGCCCCCUGGACAAAGACUGACGCUCAGGUGCGAAAGCGUGGGGAGCAAACAGGAUUAGAUACCCCUGUAGUCCCUGUCUCUUAUAC